CCCGCACAAGCGGUGGAGCAUUGUGGUUAAUUCGACGCAACGCGAAGAACCUUACCAGGGCUUGACAUCCCCUGACCGCGUAUGAAAGUACGUUUUCACCCUCGGGUGACAGGGAGACAGGUGGUGCAUGGUUGUCGUCAGCUCGUGUCGUGAGAUGUUGGGUUAAGUCCCGCAACGAGCGCAACCCCUACGUUUAGUUGCUAACGCGUGAAGGCGAGCACUCUAGACGAACUGCCGUUGACAAAACGGAGGAAGGUGGGAUGACGUCAAAUCAUCAUGCCCCUUAUGUUCUGGGCUACACACGUGCUACAAUGGCCGGUACAGACGGACGCAAAGCCGCGAGGUGGAGCAAAUCCUAAAAAGCCGGUCUCAGUUCGGAUUGCAGGCUGCAAUUCGCCUGCAUGAAGUCGGAAUCGCUAGUAAUCGCAGGUCAGCAUACUGCGGUGAAUACGUUCCCGGGCCUU
rnacentral:rRNA from 1 species